rnacentral:tRNA from 1 species
UUUGUUCUGCAAGAAUUGGUUCUUCUACUUCUAAGAAGAAGAAAGGUGGCGGCAAACGGAGUAAAA